rnacentral:rRNA from 1 species
ACGGGGGGGGCAAGCGUUGUUCGGAAUUACUGGGCGUAAAGGGCGCGUAGGCGGCUUCGGAAGUCAUGGGUGAAAGCCCCAGGCUCAACCUGGGAAUUGCCUGUGAAACCACGGAGCUGGAGUGCUGGAGAGGGAAGUGGAAUUCCCAGUGUAGCGGUGAAAUGCGUAGAUAUUGGGAGGAACAUCUGUGGCGAAGGCGGCUUCCUGGACAGACACUGACGCUGAGGCGCGAAAGCCAGGGGAGCAAACGGG